rnacentral:rRNA from 1 species
CUGAUGCAGCAACGCCGCGUGAACGAUGAAGGUCUUCGGAUCGUAAAGUUCUGUUGCAGGGGAAGAUAAUGACGGUACCCUGUGAGGAAGCCCCGGCUAACUACGUGCCAGCAGCCGCGGUAAUACGUAGGGGGCUAGCGUUAUCCGGAUUUACUGGGCGUAAAGGGUGCGUAGGUGGUCCUUCAAGUCGGUGGUUAAAGGCUACGGCUCAACCGUAGUAAGCCGCCGAAACUGGAGGACUUGAGUGCAGGAGAGGAAAGUGGAAUUCCCAGUGUAGCGGUGAAAUGCGUAGAUAUUGGGAGGAACACCAGUAGCGAAGGCGGCUUUCUGGACUGCAACUGACACUGAGGCACGAAAGCGUGGGUAGCAAACAGGAUUAGAUACCCUGGUAGUCCACGCUGUAAACGAUGAGUACUAGGUGUCGGGGGUUACCCCCCUCGGUGCCGCAGCUAACGCAUUAAGUACUCCGCCUGGGGAGUACGCACGCCAGUGUGAAACUCAAAGGAAUUGACGGGGACCCGCACAAGUAGCGGAGCAUGUGGUUUAAUUCGAAGCAAGCGAAGAACCU